GCCUCAUUAGCUCAGUUGGAGAGAGCAGUCGCCUCCUAAGCGAAAGGUCCUCGGUUCAAGUCCGGGAUGAGGCU
rnacentral:tRNA from 1 species